rnacentral:rRNA from 1 species
UUUAGUUAGAGUUUGAUCCUAGCUCAGGAUGAACGCUGGCGGCGUGGAUAAGGCAUGCAAGUCGAACGGACUAGUCCCAUGAAUGUAUAAGAAACUGAAAGUAGCAAUACGAUUGGAAUCAAGUGCCGGAUUGGGGUUUCUAGUUAGUGGCGAACGAGGUAGUAAUACGCAGGAACUUCCCCCAAAGUCGUGAAUAAUCCGGAGAAAUCCGGACUAAUACACGAUGGUCUCGCAAGAGUAAAGAAUUUCGCUUUGGGAAAGGCCUGUGCGGUAUCAGCUAGUUGGUAGUGUAAUGGACUACCAAGGCUAUGACGCCUAGGGGAGCUGAGAGGCUGACCCCCACCGAUGGUACUGAGACACGGACCAUACACCUACGGGUGGCUGCAGUCGAGAAUCUUCCACAAUGGACGAAAGUCUGAUGGAGCGACGCCGCGUGAUUGAU